UCCGGCUUAUCACCGGCAGUUUCUUUAGAGUGCCCAACUAAAUGAUGGCAACUAAAGACGAGGGUUGCGCUCGUUGCGGGACUUAACCCAACAUCUCACGACACGAGCUGACGACAGCCAUGCAGCACCUGUGUGCAGGUCCCCGAAGGGAAGAUACCCAUCUCUGGGCACCGUCCUGCCAUGUCAAGGGCUGGUAAGGUUCUUCGCGUUGCUUCGAAUUAAACAACAUGCUCCGCCGCUUGUGCGGGCCCCCGUCAAUUCCUUUGAGUUUCAAUCUUGCGAUCGUACUUCCCAGGUGGGAUACUUAAUGCUUUCGCUCAGACACACACUGUGUAUCGCGUAUGUCGAGUAUCCAUAGUUUAGGGCGUGGACUAC
rnacentral:misc_RNA from 1 species